UGCACGCAUGACUGUAAGUCACUUAGGAUAAAAGUGUCUGCUAAAUGGCAUAUA
rfam:Salmo salar isolate Sally breed double haploid chromosome ssa07, whole genome shotgun sequence.